AGGAUCUAUCUAGAUUGUAUCUAACACCUAGAGGGGGGUGAAUAGGUGUAAUAGCCAAAAACCAUAAAUCUCAAUGCGAUAAAAAUAAAUGCGAAAAAUAAAAAUCACACCGAGAUUUACGUGGAAAACUCCAACUAGGAGUAAAAAAUCACGGGACCAACACGCGAUAACAAUCCACUAAGAAUAAAAGAUUACAAGGUGAUUUACCGAUUCCACGGACUCAAACCUCUUUUUUAUCUUCUCCGGAUCUCGCGCACACCAACAGGUUGUCCACGCCCCACGUCCGAAUCCACGAACGCCACGUCCCGAAUCCACGAAACAUCCACACUUCGAAUCCACGAAGCCUUGAUCACGCCGAAUCCACUACGCCCACUCGAAUCCACGAGCACACUCCGUCCGAAGCAAGAAUACCAAGAUUGAUGAUGAUUUAUUGCUUAGACAAUCAUUAAAGAACCAUAGAAGAUGUUUCUAAGCAAUAGCCGGAUCAAUUCUCCAUGAAGAACAAGAAAUUAGGGUUUCAAGAAUUGAUCCAAUAGAAACUUGUCGUUUGAGAGAAGAAAGAAUGCACCCAAUAAGUUUCUAGGGUUUCAAAAUAAUAUUCUAUAUCUUCAUCUCUUUUAGAAACACCCCUACAUCUUAUCUAUAGGUUUAGAAGACUUAGAAACCGACUAGGAUUGCAAAAAUCCAAUUUCAAAAACUUAUGUCGUCCUCACGGACCGGUCUUCUCAAGGAGACCGGUUUUUGGGAGACCGGUCCCUCGAGUGGGAGACCGGUCCCUCGUUGCGUAGCAGAAAUCAGAAGCUACGGGAACCGGUCUCUCAUUCUAGAGACCGGUCUCUCGCUGCGUGACAGAAAAUCCCAUGUUCGGGAACCGGCCUCCCUUUCCAAAGACUGGUUGCCUCAACAUCCCACGCAGUGAGGACCCUCGGGGACCGGUCCCUGAACCCUGAUGAGGCUUAGUUUCGUCCAGAUUCAUAUUUAAAAACCAUCUUAAGUCUUCCAAACACUUUUAAACAUUUAUAAAUCAUCAUCAAUAGUAUUUAAACUUACCGAGCAUCGUGCAUUCAUAUUUUGAGUCUUCGAGUCUUCGAUCUUCAUCUCUUCUUCUUCUUCAAACAUUCAAGACUCCGACUAAUAUCAUGAAAUAUGCCAACAUAAAAUCCGUAACAAUCUUCCCCUUUGGCAAUUUCGUGACAAAACUAAAAAAUAUAUCAAAAUACUCACAACGCUCAACUCUCCUAACAAAAAAAUGAAAUUCAUUGCCAUCACCAAAACAAUGAACUUCUCGCGUGAAAAAUCCGAAUAAAAUACAAAAUUACAAUUUCGUAACUCCUAAACAAACUCUAUGACUUAAACACAAGGAGUCUUGAAGUCUUCGAGAAUCUGCAGAAAGAAUACUUUCUCCUCGAAAAAAGUUAACAAACAAAGUUAGUAGUAAAUAUGAAAAUCUCUCCCCCUUUGUUCAUGAAAAUCUCAAAUCUCAUAUCUCUCUCCCCCUUUUUGUCAAAAAAUUGCCAAAAGAAAGUACCAAAAACAGAGAGAGUACCAAUAAUGUAAGUGCAUGAAUAGCAUAAAUUCACAUAGACUUCAUUCAAUCCACAUCAAUUUCAUAGAAAUUAAGAAUUUCACUACAAGAUCACCAAGAUGUAGAUAAAAUAUACUAAAAUUUCUUUAUCCAUAUAUACGUCAAAAUCAAGUCAUCAAAAAUAAUCUAAAGGCUCAAAAUCUAUCAAGAUGUAACGAAUUAUAAAGAUGACUUAUGAAGAUUCACCAAAUGACAGAAAUUUGUCGCAUAAACGUUCAAAUUCGAGAUCAAGCAAUAAUGUACCAGGGGUGGCUCUUUGAGCAUCUUUUUACUAAACCACCUUAUUACACCGAAAAUUUUUUAACACAUAAUUUUUUCAACCUUUUCGGUUAAGCAUUCAACAUCCAUGUGGUAGCUUCACACACUUACCGGACGACCGGGAUGGUAGCUCUUUCCUACAUGUGGUGGUAGUUUUCACAUUCCCUUUGGGAUGUAACUCUUUCCACAUCUUUUAAGCACUUGGAGUGUUUCAUUUUUUUCAUUCCUACAUUUAUUAUUAUUUUUUCUAUGUAUGACUCCCCCUUAAUUAUGCAAUCUCUUAUUUGAAAGAAAAUUUGACAAGUUUUAGUCUUUUAGCAAAUUUUUAUUCAUCAAAUUCAACACAUACAACCGAGUUAGAUUAAGUGUCUAAAGAUUAUACAAGAUUACUCAAAUUUGAUGAAUAUAAGAAUAAGAUAUCCUAAAAUAAAUUAUCUUCAUCAAUAGUGAAAAUGAAGUGAAACCGAUAAUUAAUAUGAAAUUAAUUUGAAAUAAAUAAAUGUAAACUAUCAAUGUUCAACGCACUAUUUAAUAUUGUAAUCACCGAAUUAUUCUCAAAAGUCCGAACAUGUAAUGCAAUGAUCAAAAGAUAUGUAAUAAAACCGAUCAUAGCAAAACAUAAAGUCAAAAACAAAUUAAGGCUUAAGACAAGGAAAGAUAUCACCUUUUCAAAUCCAUACUUGUCGGAUUAUUGGUUGUCUUGGCUUGUUGUCUUUAGAUACCACUUGUUUUGACUUUUGAUCCACCCUUGGUCUUCCUAUUGAUUAAUAUUGCUGUUGUAGCUUUGACCUCCGAUUGAUUUGGGGUACUCGACUAGAUUGAUGUUGCUUUUGAAUCCGUAGGGGAUGUCGAGUAGUGGACGAUGCCGCUUGAUGUUUCGUAGUUGCCAAUCGAUGUGUAGACAUUGCCGAUUGUUUUUUCUUUUCCUUAUUUGGGCAAUUCUUUUUGAUGUGUCUUUUGAUGCCACAUUUAUGACACACUUUCUCUUUCGAAGUUGUUGAGACUUUAGAAUUUGACUUUUGAUCCUUAUCAACAUAUAUCCUUUCAUAGCCGAGGCCCAACUUGUUUGUUUGACCUAAUCCGAGCAUAUGAUCUAGUUUCUUUGAUCUGGAAGAAAAUCUUUGAAUAUCGGAUUGGAGUUGAUGAACUUGAUUAGUCAAGGCCUUGUUGGAUUUGUGCGAUUCCUUGAAUUGUUGCUCCAAAAAUCCAACCUUGUCUUUAUAUGAUUUGAUCGUUGAUUUUCCUUCAUCAAGUUUCUCUUGGAGGAUUAAGUUAUUCUUUGAAAUCAAUUCCUUCUCCUCCUCAAGAGCUUUAUUCAUUGUCUUCAAGUUGUUGUUUUCCUCUUCAAAAUCCAACAAACGACGUCUCAACUUCUUAUUAAGUUUGGCCAUCUUUUUCGAAUCGAUAAAAAGUUGAUGAUACGCUUCCGCUAUAUCCUCGUCGUUUGAUUCCUCCUCGCUUUCGUCGUUGUCGCUCGAUGACCCAUGCAAGGAAGGCGAAAUACUAGAGUUAGAAACAAUAGAGGAUAAACAAACAAUGUUAGACGAGGGUAAAGAAGUGUUAGUAAACAAAGCAAGUUAAUUCUUUUCUUCGUCAUUUGAACUUGAUUCACUUGAAGAUGAAUCAUCCCAAGUUUUAGCUUGCAAAGCCUUCUUUGUAUAUGAUUUCUUAGAGGGACAAUCCGUUGUAAUAUGACCGUAGCCUCUACACUUGUAACAUUGGAUUUUCCCUUCAAAAUCAUCUUUUUCUUUCGAAGGCUUUGCAAGGUUUUUAUCCUUAGAUUUUGAAUUAGAAGAAUGCUUAGAAAAGGAUUUAAUCUUCAAAGAUGAAGAAUUGUCCGAAUUGUUCUUCUUUUGGAAAUUUCGGUGAAAUUUCUUCGUGAGGAGCGUUAAUUGAUGUUCGAAGUCAGCAAGCGAAACAUCCCCGUCGGAAUUCGAGUUGUCGUCUUCUUUCUUUGUCGAUUUGAGUGCAACCCCUGUACUUUUAGAAGAAGACUUGGCAAAAGAUUGAUUAGUAGGAAAAGUCAUCUCAUACGUUUGUAGAGCGCCUACUAAUUCUUCGACUUUCAUCUCGUCCGGAUGCUUAACGGUUUCUAUCGCGGCAACCUUUGCCCGAAAGCAUUCCGGAAGAGUUCGAAGAAUUUUUCUUACAACCUUUGAAUCCGGGAUUUUCUUUCCCAAGUUAGCGCAUGUAUUGACUACGUCUUGUAGACGCGUGUAAUACUCCGUAAAGGUUUCAUUUUCUUCCAUAAAAAUCGAAUUAAAUUUGCUUGUUAGCAUUUGUAAUUUUUGAACCUUUACUAAGCUAGUUCCUUCAUGCAUAACUUGUAAAGUAUCCCAAAUCUCCUUGGCAGUUUCACACGCCGAAACACGAGUAAACUCCGUUUGCGAUAAAGCAUUGAAUAAAGCAUUAAUUCCUUUACCGUUAAAUGAAGAUGACUCGUUUUCAUCUUUCGUCCACUUGUUCCGUGGUUUAGGAACGGUAGCAUUAUCGACGACUUCGGUAGGAUGCUUCCAACCGAAUUCUAUAGCUUUCCACACCCGCUCAUCGAUUGCGAUUAGAAAAGCUCUCAUGCGAACUUUCCAAUAGGCAUAAUUCGUGCCAUCGAAGAGUGGUGGUCGAUUAAUAUUACCGCCUUCGGCCAUUAGAUAACAAUAUAUCUAGAUCCCGCUCUAAUACCAAUUGAAAGUUUUGGGGUGCCCAAGGAUCUAUCUAGAUUGUAUCUAACACCUAGAGGGGGGUGAAUAGGUGUAAUAGCCAAAAACCACAAAUCUCAAUGUGAUAAAAAUAAAUGCGAAAAAUAAAAAUCACACCGAGAUUUACGUAGAAAACUCCAACUAGGAGUAAAAAACUACGGGACCAACACGCGAUAACAAUCUACUAAGAAUAAAAGAUUACAAGGUGAUUUACCGAUUCCACGGACUCAAACCUCUCUUUUAUCUUCUCCGGAUCUCGCGCACACCAACGGGUUGUCCACGCCCCACGUCCGAAUCCACGAACGCCACGUCCCGAAUCCACGAAACGUUCACACUUCGAAUCCACGAAGCCUUGAUCACGCCGAAUCCACGACGCCUACUCGAAUCCACGAGCACACUCCGUCCGGAG
rnacentral:lncRNA from 1 species